rnacentral:misc_RNA from 1 species
GUCUUAAUCUGUAAGAUAUGAUAACUGUGAAAAACAUAGGUGUGUAUGCUUUUCAUUAGUGUUGAAUUUGAUACUGUAUCGCACAGAUAAGCCACAAAGGCUAACAUGCGUUUGUCUGUUUUAAUUCGUAACGUUAACUAAAUAAAUGAGAAAAAGUUAAAUUAAGCUUCCAUUAUUGGAAUUACAUUGUGCAAAAUGUCUAAAUCAGGAAAGCAAGUUAUUGAAAGAAAAUCAGUAGGGAGAAGAUCCACUCGAAAGACAAUUGCAGAUUUGGAAUCAUGGUUCAAAGGGGGUUCGAAAAAAAGUACCCUCGUCAACAAACCGGGAUCCUUAGCCAGUUCAAGGCCAAAUUCCGAAACAGACCUUGGAGACCCAGACGAACAAGCAUUAGAACAACAAAUAAACGAAAUGGAUGAUAAACAGACGAAUGCAAAGUUUGAAGAAAUGCUGAAUGACAUGAAUUUAAACGAAGAGAAAAAGAAACCGUUAAGAGAUUCAACGAUGGAAUACAAGAAAAAAAUGUUACUAAUGCGAUGUAAAGGUGCAAAUCAAGUUAAAGAGAGCAAAUUCGAUACACCGCAACAAUAUAUUAAUUAUAUAGAAAAUUAUUCCCGAACUGAUACGUUAAAUCCGGGAAAAAUCCUCAGCUGUGUGGAAUCAUUGAGGAUAGCACUGACCAAUAAUACAUUAAGUUGGGUACAUGAGUUUGGAACAAAAGGUCUACUUACAGUCUUUAACAUUUUGAAUUUAGCCACAAAAUGUAACAAAGAUGAGAGAUUCGAAAAGAUACAAGCAGAAUGUUUAAAAUGUAUAUACAAGUUUAUAAAUAAUACAGAAGGUAUUCGCGAAUUUUUAAAACAUGACAGUGGCCACGAAAUUAUAGCAUCUUGUAUAGAUUUUAAAAAACCAACAGUUACAAUCCACGCGCUACAGUUAUUAGCUGCCCUAUGCUUUUUAUCGAAUGACGAUUUAAAAAUUGUUGGGACCGACAAAGUUCUAUCGGCCAUCACAAAGGUUGCUGAAGAACGAAAUAUCGAAAGGUUUAAGCCACUUGUUGAUGGCAUAACGAAUUCAAAAAACGAAGAUUUAUGGUGCGUGUGUCUUCAAUUUAUCAAUGCACUGUUAUCACAGACUGAAGUUUUUGAAUAUCGUGUACAUUUAAGGAACGAAAUAGUUAGAUGUGGAUUGUACGAAAAAUUAGAAACCCUGAAGAGAGAAGCCAGCGAAGACAUCCUUAAACAAUUAGAGUGUUUCGAGAAUCAUAAAGAAGAAGAUGCAGAUGAACUGCAAUCAAGAUUUGAUAAUGUCAAAAUUGAUAUGGAUGAUAUCAAUGACUGUUUUGUGGUGCUAAGGAACAUGAUUUUAGAUACGCCUGCUGAACCAUAUUUUCUUAGUAUUUUACAACAUUUAAUGUUUAUUAGGGACGACUAUUAUGUUAGGACAGCGUAUUAUAAACUUAUUGAAGAGUUAGUAACACAAAUUGUUCUUCAUAAGUCGGGUAUUGAUCCUGAUUUCACAAAAAGGCCUAUUGCUUUUGAUAUACAACCUCUGCUUGAAGGAUUAACGGAAAGAACAACUGAAAUAGAAAAAAAUAACUACGGAGACCUUCAAAAAAGAUUGGAAGAAGCAUUAGCUGCUAAAACCGAAGCCCUGGCCAGAAUUGAUAUACUAGAAGGACGUGCUACAUCAAAUGGCAAACUGGAUCCCGAUUGUGUUAAUAACACAUCAAAAGCAAUAGGUUCAGCACCUCCUCCACCUCCAUUGCCGGGUAUGGGUGGAGCACCACCUCCGCCACCAUUGCCAAAUAUGAGUGGAGGACCUCCACCUCCUCCUCUACCCAACGUGGGAGGACCUCCCCCUCCCCCAAUGCCGGGAAUGGUUGGACCUCCUCCACCUCCAAUGCCGGGAAUGGGACCUCCACCGCCUCCUCUUCCGGGUAUGGGUGGAGCGCCUCCACCACCACCUCCUGGCAUGGGCCCGCCUCCACCUAUGCCAGGAAUGAUCCCUUUAGUAGGAAUGGCCAAUCCUAACGUAUUGCCUCAUGGGUUGAAACCCAAGAAGAAGUGGGAGGUCAGUGGGCCUCUCAAAAGGGCAAAUUGGAAAGCGAUUAUUCCUCAAAAACUGUCCGAAAAAUCGUUUUGGGUAAAAGUACAAGAAGAGAAACUAGCUUCUCCAGAUAUUUUAGAGGGAUUAGCUCAGAAAUUCAGUUCGAAGCCGCCACCCAAAAAAGUCGAAGGUGACGCGCUAGACAGCAGUAAUACUUAUGGUACCUUAAAGAAAGUCAAAGAACUGAAAGUUUUGGAUGGUAAAACAGCUCAAAAUAUAUUAAUUUUGUUGAAUGGGUCUCUGAAGCACAUGUCAUUUGAUGAUAUUAAGAAGUGCUUAUUGCGUUGUGACGGUUCAAUUUUAAUUGGAAAUGUUCUAGAACAACUAAUUCAGUAUUUACCUCCAGCCGACCAAUUGAAUAAAUUAGCACAAUUUAAAGAUUCGUACAAAGAUCUUACGGAAGCUGAACAAUUUUGUAUAAAGAUUUCCGAAAUUAAAAGACUGUUACCACGACUGAAAUCACUCAGUUUUAAGGAACAUUUUACGGAAAUGGUCAACGAUUGUAAACCGGAUAUCGUUGCUGGAACUGCAGCAUGCGAAGAAGUAAAGAAAAGCAAGAAGUUUGCUAAAAUCCUUGAAUUGAUUUUGCUGUUAGGCAAUUACAUGAAUUCGGCGAGCAAAAAUGGACCAGCGUUUGGAUUUGAAAUCAGCUUUUUAACAAAACUUACAAGUACAAAAGAUCUUGAAAAUAAACAAACUUUGCUUCAUUACAUCGUUGAGACUGUGGAAAAGAAAUUCCCUGAACUAUUAGAGUUCUAUGAUGAAAUGCCUCAUAUAGAUAAAGCCAGUCGUGUUUCCUUGGAUGCAAUACAAAAAACUCUAAAGCAGAUGGAUUCCAGCAUCAAAAAUUUGGAAACUGAUUUGCAAAAUAACAAGUUACCGCAGGAUGACCAGGAUAAGUUUUCCGAAAUAAUGGGCUCGUUUGCAAAAGAAGCCCGAGAGCAGUGCCUGGUUAUGCAAAAAAUGUUCAAGAAGAUGGAUGAGCUGUAUAACGAGUUGGCAGAAUAUUACGCUUUUGAUAAACAAAAGUACGUUUUGGAAGAAUUCUUUACGGAUUUGAAAACAUUUAAAGAUAGUUUCAUAGAAGCGAAAAAGGAUAAUGAGCGUGAACGGGAAAUAUUAGAGAAGAACAGAAAAGCUAAAUUGGCGAGAGAAAAGGCAGAAAAAGAGAAACAAGAACGUGCGGCUAGAAAGAAGGCGCUCAUCGACAUGAACCCGUCAGAAACACAAGAGGGCGUAAUGGAUAGUUUACUGGAAGCUCUACAAACGGGUAGCGCUUUUAGCAGAGAACAGAAACGAAAACGAGGUCCUCGGCCUGCAGGUGAAUGCUUCUGGGAGUCAUUAGCUGGUAAGAAUGCUAUGAACACGAUAUGACGUUAAACUGAAAGGCGAGCACAGUUAGUAAGAUCGAGGUCAAGAACAGGGCUAAUAGCAGGGCGUGAGCUAACAGGGGAAAUAAUUGCGUAAAUAACCA